rnacentral:rRNA from 1 species
AUGAACGCUAGCUACAGGCUUAACACAUGCAAGUCGAGGGGCAGCAUGGUCUUAGCUUGCUAAGGCCGAUGGCGACCGGCGCACGGGUGAGUAACACGUAUCCAACCUGCCGUCUACUCUUGGACAGCCUUCUGAAAGGAAGAUUAAUACAAGAUGGCAUCAUGAGUCCGCAUGUUCACAUGAUUAAAGGUAUUCCGGUAGACGAUGGGGAUGCGUUCCAUUAGAUAGUAGGCGGGGUAACGGCCCACCUAGUCUUCGAUGGAUAGGGGUUCUGAGAGGAAGGUCCCCCACAUUGGAACUGAGACACGGUCCAAACUCCUACGGGAGGCAGCAGUGAGGAAUAUUGGUCAAUGGGCGAGAGCCUGAACCAGCCAAGUAGCGUGAAGGAUGACUGCCCUAUGGGUUGUAAACUUCUUUUAUAAAGGAAUAAAGUCGGGUAUGCAUACCCGUUUGCAUGUACUUUAUGAAUAAGGAUCGGCUAACUCCGUGCCAGCAGCCGCGGUAAUACGGAGGAUCCGAGCGUUAUCCGGAUUUAUUGGGUUUAAAGGGAGCGUAGAUGGAUGUUUAAGUCAGUUGUGAAAGUUUGCGGCUCAACCGUAAAAUUGCAGUUGAUACUGGAUAUCUUGAGUGCAGUUGAGGCAGGCGGAAUUCGUGGUGUAGCGGUGAAAUGCUUAGAUAUCACGAAGAACUCCGAUUGCGAAGGCAGCCUGCUAAGCUGCAACUGACAUUGAGGCUCGAAAGUGUGGGUAUCAAACAGGAUUAGAUACCCUGGUAGUCCACACGGUAAACGAUGAAUACUCGCUGUUUGCGAUAUACUGCAAGCGGCCAAGCGAAAGCGUUAAGUAUUCCACCUGGGGAGUACGCCGGCAACGGUGAAACUCAAAGGAAUUGACGGGGGCCCGCACAAGCGGAGGAACAUGUGGUUUAAUUCGAUGAUACGCGAGGAACCUUACCCGGGCUUAAAUUGCAGAUGAAUUACGGUGAAAGCCGUAAGCCGCAAGGCAUCUGUGAAGGUGCUGCAUGGUUGUCGUCAGCUCGUGCCGUGAGGUGUCGGCUUAAGUGCCAUAACGAGCGCAACCCUUGUUGUCAGUUACUAACAGGUUCCGCUGAGGACUCUGACAAGACUGCCAUCGUAAGAUGUGAGGAAGGUGGGGAUGACGUCAAAUCAGCACGGCCCUUACGUCCGGGGCUACACACGUGUUACAAUGGGGGGUACAGAGGGCCGCUACCACGCGAGUGGAUGCCAAUCCCCAAAACCUCUCUCAGUUCGGACUGGAGUCUGCAACCCGACUCCAUGAAGCUGGAUUCGCUAGUAAUCGCGCAUCAGCCACGGCGCGGUGAAUACGUUCCCGGGCCUUGUACACACCGCCCGUCAAGCCAUGGGAGCCGGGGGUACCUGAAGUGCGUAACCGCGAGGAGCGCCCUAGGGUAAAACUGGUGACUGGGGCU